rnacentral:rRNA from 1 species
GACGAACGCUGGCGGCGUGCUUAACACAUGCAAGUCGAACGGAAAGGCCCUGCUUUUGUGGGGUGCUCGAGUGGCGAACGGGUGAGUAACACGGGAGUAACCUGCCCUUGACUUUGGGAUAACUUCAGGAAACUGGGGCUAAUACCGGAUAGGGGCUCCUGCUGCAUGGUGGGGGUUGGAAAGUUUCGGCGGUUGGGGAUGGACUCGCGGCUUAUCAGCUUGUUGGUGGGGUAGUGGCUUACCAAGGCUUUGACGGGUAGCCGGCCUGAGAGGGUGACCGGCCACAUUGGGACUGAGAUACGGCCCAGACUCCUACGGGAGGCAGCAGUGGGGAAUAUUGCACAAUGGGCGGAAGCCUGAUGCAGCAACGCCGCGUGCGGGAUGACGGCCUUCGGGUUGUAAACCGCUUUCGCCUGUGACGAAGCGUGAGUGACGGUAAUGGGUAAAGAAGCACCGGCUAACUACGUG